rnacentral:rRNA from 1 species
UGCUUUAGAGAUAAAGCGGAGGUAUUCGGGGAGACAGGUGGUGCAUGGUUGUCGUCAGCUCGUGUCGUGAGAUGUUGGGUUAAGUCCCGUAACGAGCGCAACCCUUGUCCUUAGUUACCAGCACGUUAUGGUGGGCACUCUAAGGAGACUGCCGGUGACAAACCGGAGGAAGGUGGGGAUGACGUCAAGUCAUCAUGGCCCUUACGGCCUGGGCUACACACGUGCUACAAUGGUCGGUACAAAGGGUUGCCAAGCCGCGAGGUGGAGCUAAUCCCAUAAAACCGAUCGUAGUCCGGAUCGCAGUCUGCAACUCGACUGCGUGAAGUCGGAAUCGCUAGUAAUCGUGAAUCAGAAUGUCACGGUGAAUACGUUCCCGGGCCUU